rnacentral:lncRNA from 1 species
AUCGAAGAUCAGCCGGCCUGGACAGGUGAGGGACAGGUGAGCAUGGACAGGUGAGAAUGGACAGGUGAGCAUGGACAGGUGAGAAUGGACAGGUGUGGGACAGGUGAGAUAUGGACAGGUGUGGGACAGGUGAGAUGGGACAGGUGAGAUAAGUGUCUCAUGUGUUCCAUACCUGUUCCUAUACCUGUGCCAGGUGUACCCAGGUGUGCCCAGGUGUGUCUCACCUGUCCCAUACCUGUCUCAGGUGUGCCCAGGUGUGCCCAAGUGUGCCCAGGUGUGUCCCAUACCUGUCCAGGAGUGCCCAGGUGUGCCCAGGUGUGUCUCAGGUGUACCCAGGUGUGCCCAGGUGUGCCCCAUACCUAUCUCAGGUGUACCCAGGUGUAACUCAGGUGUGCCCAGGUGUGCCCAGGUGUGUCUCAGGUGUACCCAGGUGUGUCCCAUACCUAUCCAGGUAUGCCCAGGUGUACCCAGGUGUGCCCAGGUGUGUGUCUCACCUGUCUCAGGUGUACCCAGGUGUACCCAGGUGUACCCAGGUGUGUCCCAUACCUAUCCAGGUGUGCCCAGGUGUGCCCAGGUGUGCCCAGGUGUGUCCCAUACCUAUCCAGGUGUGCCCAGGUGUGCCCAGGUGUGUUCCUCACCUUGCUCCACCCCCGUGACGAUCGAUGCAAAGUUGUCAUCGAGCAGGAUCACCUGUCCCACACCUAUCCCAUACCUAUCCAGGUGUGCCCAGGUGUGCCCAGGUGUGCCCAGGUGUGUGUCUCACCUGUCCAGGUGUGCCCAGGUGUAUCUCAGAUGUGCCCAGGUGUGCCCAGGUGUGCCCAGGUGUGCCCAGGUGUAUCUCAGCUGUGUGUCUCACCUGUCCCAGGUGUGCCCAGGUGUACCCAGGUGUACCCAGGUGUACCCAGGUGUGUCUCACCUGUCCCAUACCUGUCUCAGGUGUGCCCAGGUGUGCCCAGGUGUGUCCCAUACCUAUCCAGGUGUGCCCAGGUGUAUCUCAGGUGUACCCAGGUGUGCCCAGGUGUGUCCCAUGCCUGUCCAGGUGUACCCAGGUGUGCCCAGGUGUAUCUCAGCUGUGUGUCUCACCUGUCCCAGGUGUGCCCAGGUGUACCCAGGUGUACCCAGGUGUGCCCAGGUGUGUCCCAUACCUAUCCAGGUGUGCCCAGGUGUGUCUCACCUGUCCCAUACCUAUCUCAGGUGUGCCCAGGUGUGUCUCAGGUGUGCCCAGGUGUGCCCAGGUGUGUGUCCCAUGCCUGUCCAGGUGUACCCAGGUGUGCCCAGGUGGAGCCCCAGCAUCUCCAGGUGUACCCAGGUGUGCCCAGGUGUAUCUCAGGUGUGCCCAGGUGUAUCUCAGGUGUGU